AGAGUUUGAUCAUGGCUCAGGACGAACGCCGGCGGCGUGCUUAACACAUGCAAGUCGAACGGAAAGGCCCUUCGGGGUACUCGAGUGGCGAACGGGUGAGUAACACGUGGGUGAUCUGCCCUGCACUCUGGGAUAAGCCUGGGAAACUGGGUCUAAUACCGGAUAGGACCACACACUUCAUGGUGAGUGGUGCAAAGCUUUUGCGGUGUGGGAUGAGCCCGCGGCCUAUCAGCUUGUUGGUGGGGUAAUGGCCCACCAAGGCGACGACGGGUAGCCGGCCUGAGAGGGUGACCGGCCACACUGGGACUGAGAUACGGCCCAGACUCCUACGGGAGGCAGCAGUGGGGAAUAUUGCACAAUGGGCGCAAGCCUGAUGCAGCGACGCCGCGUGAGGGAUGACGGCCUUCGGGUUGUAUACCUCUUUCAGUAGGGACGAAGCGAAAGUGACGGUACCUACAGAAGAAGGACCGGCCAACUACGUGCCAGCAGCCGCGGUAAUACGUAGGGUCCGAGCGUUGUCCGGAAUUACUGGGCGUAAAGAGCUCGUAGGUGGUUUGUCGCGUUGUUCGUGAAAACUCACAGCUUAACUGUGGGCGUGCGGGCGAUACGGGCAGACUAGAGUACUGCAGGGGAGACUGGAAUUCCUGGUGUAGCGGUGGAAUGCGCAGAUAUCAGGAGGAACACCGGUGGCGAAGGCGGGUCUCUGGGCAGUAACUGACGCUGAGGAGCGAAAGCGUGGGUAGCGAACAGGAUUAGAUACCCUGGUAGUCCACGCCGUAAACGGUGGGUACUAGGUGUGGGUUUCCUUCCUUGGGAUCCGUGCCGUAGCUAACGCAUUAAGUACCCCGCCUGGGGAGUACGGUCGCAAGACUAAAACUCAAAGGAAUUGACGGGGGCCCGCACAAGCGGCGGAGCAUGUGGAUUAAUUCGAUGCAACGCGAAGAACCUUACCUGGGUUUGACAUGCGCAGGACGUAUCUAGAGAUAGGUAUUCCCUUGUGGCCUGCGUGCAGGUGGUGCAUGGCUGUCGUCAGCUCGUGUCGUGAGAUGUUGGGUUAAGUCCCGCAACGAGCGCAACCCUUGUCCUAUGUUGCCAGCGGGUAAUGCCGGGGACUCGUAGGAGACUGCCGGGGUCAACUCGGAGGAAGGUGGGGAUGACGUCAAGUCAUCAUGCCCCUCAUGUCCAGGGCUUCACACAUGCUACAAUGGCCAGUACAGAGGGCUGCGAAGCCGCAAGGUGGAGCGAAUCCCUUAAAGCUGGUCUCAGUUCGGAUUGGGGUCUGCAACUCGACCCCAUGAAGUCGGAGUCGCUAGUAAUCGCAGAUCAGCAACGCUGCGGUGAAUACGUUCCCGGGCCUUGUACACACCGCCCGUCACGUCAUGAAAGUCGGUAACACCCGAAGCCAGUGGCCUAACCUUUUGGAGGGAGCUGUCGAAGGUGGGAUCGGCGAUUGGGACGAAGUCGUAACAAGGUA
rnacentral:rRNA from 1 species